rnacentral:rRNA from 1 species
UACGUAGGGGGCUAGCGUUGUCCGGAUUUAUUGGGCGUAAAGAGCGUGUAGGCGGCCAGGUAGGUCCGCUGUGAAAGUCCGAGGCUCAACCUCGGAAUGUCGGCGGAAACCCUCUGGCUAGAGUCCGGAAGAGGAGAGUGGAAUUCCCGGUGUAGCGGUGAAAUGCGCAGAUAUCGGGAAGAACACCCGUGGCGAAGGCGGCUCUCUGGAACGGUACUGACGCUGAGACGCGAAAGCGUGGGGGAGCGAACAGG